GGUGAACGCUGGCGGCGUGCCUAACACAUGCAAGUCGAACGAAGCACUUCGAUUUCCUCGGAAUGAAAAAGUGACUGAGUGGCGGACGGGUGAGUAACGCGUGGGUAACCUGCCUCAUACAGGGGGAUAACAGUUAGAAAUGGCUGCUAAUACCGCAUAAGCGCACAGUACCGCAUGGUACCGUGUGAAAAACUCCGGUGGUAUGAGAUGGACCCGCGUCUGAUUAGCUAGUUGGUAAGGUAACGGCUUACCAAGGCGACGAUCAGUAGCCGGCCUGAGAGGGUGAUCGGCCACAUUGGGACUGAGACACGGCCCAAACUCCUACGGGAGGCAGCAGUGGGGAAUAUUGCACAAUGGGGGAAACCCUGAUGCAGCAACGCCGCGUGAAGGAUGACGUAUUUCGGUAUGUAAACUUCUAUCAGCAAGGAAGAUGAUGACGGUACUUGACUAAGAAGCCCCGGCUAACUACGUG
rnacentral:rRNA from 1 species